GCACCGCUAGCUCAGUUGGUAGAGCAGCUGACUCUUAAUCAGCGGGUCGUAGGUUCGAGUCCUACGCGGUGCA
rnacentral:tRNA from 1 species